GGGGGCGUCACGGCUUCGACGGGAUUGCUUGUGGCAGAGAGGCAUGUCGGGGUGUGGACACCCGUAAUCGCUCACAAAACCAUAAGUGCCGAACCUCAAUUCGCACUCGCUGCUUAAUUAACUAAGUAGCCGGACGCUCGGGCUUCGCCUAUGGGCCCGUACCGUCCGUCGCACAGUAGGCUGGCCGUCCCUGCACCGUCUGAGCGGGUCCGGCAAGAUCAAUCAGGCUGGUCAGCGCCGCAUCUUCGUCCGUUCUAAGCGUCGCCGACGAGACCAAACGAACCGGAAAAAGCAUGAAUGCUCUCUGUUGUAAGCUCUUUCGGACGCGGGUUCGACUCCCGCCGCCUCCACCA
rnacentral:tmRNA from 1 species